rnacentral:rRNA from 1 species
AGUACGCUAUGUGAAUCAUCGAAUCUUUGAACGCAAGUGGCGCUCUCACGCUCGCGUGGGAGCAUGCCUCUUUCAGCAUCGGUUAUUCUAAACUCAUCUGCUUGCAGAUGGAGAAUGAGUUGUCGCUUUUUUGCUAAAGCGUCACUUAAAGUAUGGCGAGCUCAGUCGCAAGUUUCACUGAGAAAGUGACGUUGGUAGGUAAUGAAAGCAUCAGUAAAAACUUCGAGUUUUGGAUGGGCUUUCGUUUACUUCACGCCGCGUCUGCUUUCGUUUGCAGGUGAAGCUGCCCUAUUAGCAAUAGAUAGGACGACUAGCGUAAGAGUAGUCUUUUUAAAUUAAAAGUAAGAAGUAGCUACUCAGCCUUAACGACUUGAUCUGAAAUGAGGUAAGAGGACCCGCCGAAUUUAAGCAUAUCAAUAAGCGGAGG